rnacentral:rRNA from 1 species
CCUACGGGUGGCAGCAGUCGAGAAUCAUUCACAAUGGCCGAAACCCUGAUCGUGCGACGCCGCGUGGGGGAAUGAAGGUCUACGGAUUGUACACCCCUUUUAUGUGGGAGCAAAUUAAAAAGAUAGUACCUCACCAGGAAGACACGGUUAACACUGAGCCAGCAACUGCGGUAAUACAGAGGUCUUAAGCGCUAUGCGGAAUCACUGGGCGUAAAGGGUGCGGAUGCUGUGUUGUAAGUCGUGGGUGAAAGGCGCGGGCUCAACCCGCGGACGGCACACGAUACUGGGAGUCUAGAGUAGUGGAGAGGGAACCGGAAUUCGCGGUGUAGCAGUGAAAUGCUUAGAUAUCGAGAAGAACACUGGUGGCGAAGGCAGGUUACUGGACAUGAACUGACGCUGAGGCACGAAGGCGAGGGGAGCGAAAAGGAUUAGAUACCCCAGUAGUC